rnacentral:rRNA from 1 species
AUUGAACGCUGGCGGCAGGCCUAACACAUGCAAGUCGAGCGAGCGGCGGACGGGUGAGUAAUAUCUGGGAAGCUGCCUGAUGGAGGGGGAUAACUACUGGAAACGGUAGCUAAUACCGCAUACCAUCAGAUGUGCCCAGAUGGGGUUGGAUCUUAGGGGGGGUAACGGCUCACCUAGGCGACGAUCCCUAGCUGGUCUGUGAGGAUGAACAGCCACACUGGAACUGAGACACGGUCCAGACUCCUACGGGAGGCAGUAGUUGGGAAUAUUGCACAAUGGGCGCACGCCUGAUGCAGCCAUGCCGCGUGUGUGAAGAAGGCCUUCGGGUUGUAAAGCACUUUCAGUGGGGAGGCGUUACCCGCAGAAGAAGCACCGGCUAACUCCGUGCCAGCAGCCGCGGUAAUUC